rnacentral:rRNA from 1 species
UACCGCAUACGUCCUACGGGAGAAAGCAGGGGACCUUCGGGCCUUGCGCUAUCAGAUGAGCCUACCUCGGAUUAGCUAGUUGGUGAGGUAAUGGCUCACCAAGGCGACGAUCCGUAACUGGUCUGAGAGGAUGAUCAGUCACACUGGAACUGAGACACGGUCCAGACUCCUACGGGAGGCAGCAGUGGGGAAUAUUGGACAAUGGGCGAAAGCCUGAUCCAGCCAUGCCGCGUGUGUGAAGAAGGUCUUCGGAUUGUAAAGCACUUUAAGUUGGGAGGAAGGGUUGUAGAUUAAUACUCUGCAAUUUUGACGUUACCGACAGAAUAAGCACCGGCUAACUCUGUGCCAGCAGCCGCGGUAAUACAGAGGGUGCAAGCGUUAAUCGGAAUUACUGGGCGUAAAGCGCGCGUAGGUGGUUUGUUAAGUUGGAUGUGAAAUGCCCGGGCUCAACCUGGGAACUGCAUUCAAAACUGACUGACUAGAGUAUGGUAGAGGGUGGUGGAAUUUCCUGUGUAGCGGUGAAAUGCGUAGAUAUAGGAAGGAACACCAGUGGCGAAGGCGACCACCUGGACUAAUACUGACACUGAGGUGCGAAAGCGUGGGGAGCAAACAGGAUUAGAUACCCUGGUAGUCCACGCCGUAAACGAUGUCAACUAGCCGUUGGAAGCCUUGGAGCUUUUAGUGGCG